CGAAUGUGCCUGAUCUCAUCUAGCUGGCAUUUGAAUUGCAGAAUGAUAGAGUCUGACCAGUGUGUCCUGACUGUCUUCAUAGACAGUGACAAGCAGCUUGUGUGUGCCAUAAGCUUGGUGGUGGUUGUCUUAUAACGUCAGCAUUACAUGAUGAUAAAACUCCACUUUUAACUCAAGUGAAGUUGUACUGUAAAAACAUCCCAAGGCCUCAUUUGCUGACUCUGCCAAAAUGUACUGGGUAUCUUUAGUAUGUACUAUAGUGCUUCCCAGGUGGCUCAGUAGUAAAGAUUCCACCCACCAAUGCCAGAAAUGCAGGGGAUAUGGGUUUGAUUCCUGGGUUGAGAAGAUCUCCUGGAGAAGGGAAUGACAAUCCAUUCCACUAUUCUUGCCGGGAAAACCCUAGGGACAGAGGAGCCUGGCGGGCUACAUACAGUUCAAGGAGUCACAAAGAGUUGGACACAACUGAGCAUGUAUGCAUAACUCAUAGUGCCCCACCCAGGUCCCCUUUGCUUGUUGGUACAUGUGUUCUUCAGCUGCUGUUAAGUGCUACAGCCAUGGGCUUAUAUCUGGGAGUCACCUCACUUGGAGAUAUAUGGAAGUUUCUACUUCUUGAUCCCCAUGGCCAAUGACUGGAUGAUAUAUGGAUGUACAGGGAGGAUCAGCCAUUUUACAUCUUCCCCCAAAGGUACAGACAGAAGCGGAUGGCAUCUCAUGGAAAGGAGAGACUGACCAGGAGCCUGGAGACCCAGACUUAAGCCCUAGCAGGUGACCUGGGCCCAUGAGGCUCUGUCUGAUUGUGCAGCCAGUUCCCAGGCCUGGGCUCCAGCUGCAAAGGGUGAUGUAGAAGCCAGUAUCCAGCAUAUCUGUCCCCUAUGAUGGGAAGCUGUCCUCAUACGCACCCAAAACUCACGAGGUGGGAAUUCUCCAGAUGUGGAAAGAGAUUUCUGUGUUGACACAACUCUUCACUAUUCUAUUUCCUUAUUGAGCAAGUUGAUUUAUUUAUUAAAAUUUAUUAAAAUUUUAUUUUUGAGU
ensembl:lncRNA